rnacentral:rRNA from 1 species
CGGUUGAUCCUGCCGGACCUGACUGCUAUCGGAUUGGUACUAAGCCAUGUGAGUCGUUGCAGCAAUGCAAGGCAGACGGCUCAGUAACACGUAGUCAACCUAACCUAUGGACGGGGAUAACCUCGGGAAACUGAGAAUAAUACCCGAUAGAUCAUGAUACCUGGAACGGUUUAUGGUCCAAAUGAUUUAUCGCCAUAGGAUGGGACUGCGGUCUAUCAGCUUGUUGGUGAGGUAAUGGCCCACCAAGGCUAUAACAGAUACGGGCUCUGAGAGGAGGGGCCCGGAGAUGGGUACUGAGACACGGACCCAGGUCCUAUGGGGCGCAGCAGGCGAGAAACCUUUGCAAUGUGCGAAAGCACGACAAGGUUAAUCCGAGUGAUUCCUGCUAAAGGAAUCUUUUGUUAGUCAUAAAACCACUGAUGAAUAAGGGGUGGGCAAGUUCUGGUGUCAGCCGCCGCGGUAAUACCAGCACCUCGAGUGGUCAGGAGGUUUAUUGGGCCUAAAGCAUCCGUAGCCGGCUGCUCAAGUUUCCGGUUAAAUCCACACGCUUAACGUAUGGGCUGCCGGAAAUACUGUUCAGCUAGGGAGUGGGAGAGGUAGACGGCACUCGAUAUGAAGGGGUAAAAUCCGUUGAUCUAUUGAUGACCACGUGUGCCGAAAGCGGUCUACCGGAGGACGAUCACACCGUCAUGACAAGAGCCCUCGGCAAGCUACAGGAGAUAAGAUACUCGGAGCAUCCCACCAGUAGAUUCCCGGGAUACUCCGACGCUUAACC